AUGCCACGUUAUGUUAUGUGCUACAUCUCAGUCCUUAAUUUAUUAUGCUAUGAUUUUAUCAAUCGAUCUGUCCCCUAUUUAUCAUGUGUAUUCGUUCAAACACCACAGGUUUAUCUAUCCCUGCUUGUUUCGGUCACUCUUCGGAGAUCUUAUGCGUUUGUAUGUUCUUCGUUGGUUUUGUGGAUCUCCUUCUUGCGAUGUUCUUAUAGGAACUUCUGGGUCGAUUAA
rnacentral:rRNA from 1 species